CUCCCCCUCCACAGGGGGCACCCGGUUUAAUUUCUCAUCUCGGGAGAGUCAUACUCCGACCCCCAGUCCCAAGCACCAACCUCCGAGCAGCCCCCAAGACCGGGCAUUGGGGAGGCCAGUCAGACGUGCCGUCACUGACCGACAUCCGUGGGUCACUUGGUACCACAAUGGCCACCAGCAACAUGGCCCAACUCGGCCACAAGGAUCUUGUCAUGCAAGAGCAGGACAGACUUUUCUCAUAGCAGUGUGACUUGGGCCUUGAGGAGUCAGGAAGAAGAGAAGGGGGCUGUCCUCCCAGAACAGGGUGGGCCUACAGGAGGAAGGGCCACACAUCCCUCAUGGUUGCCCCCCCACAUCUGGGAAGUUCUGGGUUUUUUUUUUUUUUCUUUUAAGGGGAAAAGGAAGUUUCUGGAACCAAAGCCUGGUCAGUGGAAUGUCUCCACCGGGUAGUCUGCAGACACACUUUCCUCACAGUUGGUUUGGGGUCUGCUCACGAUAGAAAGAUGGAGUUGGAGUGGGCUCCAGCACCCCAUCUGAGCGAGGCCCAGGGUCCUGCAGGAGUUCACAGGCCCUGAGGACAGGACUUUGGCUCACAGCUGUAUCUCCAGAGACUAGACCUGUGUCUGACACCUACCAGGUGCUCAAUAAACUCUUGUCAAAUGAGACCCCAGGAACAUUUCAUGUUUCCUGCUUCCGGAGGUGGAUAUUGGAGGCUCGAGAAGGUAAGGUCACUGCCCAGGGUUGACCACCCCCCUGGAGAACCAGGCCCAGACCAGGCUGGAGGGGCUCCAGAGCCCCCGCUCGUCACUGCAUGUGCUCUCCUGGAGCUGGGGGGUGUCCACCAGAGUUCCUGAAAACAGAGCGUCUGCUGAAGGAGGCUGGGGAUGGCUGCAGAAUCGUUACUGCUGGUGGCACCAGUGUACCCAUUCUGGCCUGACCCCUGAGUUGGUCAUAUUCGGCCCCGUGGACCACUCUUGUUUCUCCAGCUCUCUGCUGCCCUGGACCCCAGGCUAUUUAUUCAAGUGUCUUCCUCACUGUCUCCCCAAAGCAGAAAGUCUUCCUUGAUGCUCCCGGGGCUGACCUCAGCCCCAGCACUUCUUACUCCGUGUGAUCACUGCUGGCUUACAGGCCAGUCUGGUCCUUGCACUGAGAGCAGGGCCCCAAGGGAUGGCUCUGAGGAAGCAUGAGCAAGUGGUGGAUGGAAGGAUAGAUGGAUGGAUGGGUGGAUGGAUUGACGGAUGGAUGGAUGAGUGGGUGGGUGAGUGGCCAGAUGGGUAGAUGGAUGGGUGGGUAGGUAGAUGGUGAGUGGCCGGGUGGGUGAGUGGCUGGGUGGAUGAAUGAAAGGACAGGUAGGUAGUGGAUGGUUGGGUGGAUGGAUAGGUGUGUGGCUAGUGUGUUCCUAACCGAGGCCAGCAGACCACCCCUGCGUCAGGCACACCCUAGUGCCCCAGGGCUCCUGGCCAGAACGGAUCAGAGAGACUGUCCACAGAACAGCUGAAGAGGUGGGUGAAGCUUAGCCUGCAGAAGGCGAGGCCCAGGGGAGCAGGAGAGCUCCCUUUGAGGGUUUGG
ensembl:lncRNA